GAUGAACGCUGGCGGCGUGCCUAAUACAUGCAAGUCGAGCGAAUGGAUUAAGAGCUUGCUCUUAUGAAGUUAGCGGCGGUCGGGUGAGUAACACGUGGGUAACCUGCCCAUAAGACUGGGAUAACUCCGGGAAACCGGGGCUAAUACCGGAUAACAUUUUGAACCGCAUGGUUCGAAAUUGAAAGGCGGCUUCGGCUGUCACUUAUGGAUGGACCCGCGUCGCAUUAGCUAGUUGGUGAGGUAACGGCUCACCAAGGCAACGAUGCGUAGCCGACCUGAGAGGGUGCUCGGCCACACUGGGACUGAGACACGGCCCAGACUCGUGCGGGAGGUAGCAGUAGGGAAUCUUCCGCAAUGGACGAAAGUCUGACGGAGCAACGCCGCGGGAGUGAGGAAGGCGUUCGGGUCGUAAAACUCUGGUGUUAGGGAAGAACAAGUGCUAGUUGAAUAAGCUGGCACCUUGACGGUACCUAACCAGAAAGCCACGGCUAACUACGUGCCAGCCGCCGCAGUAA
rnacentral:rRNA from 1 species